GACGAACGCUGGCGGCGUGCUUAACACAUGCAAGUCGAACGCUGAAGCUCAGCUUUUGUUGGGUGGAUGAGUGGCGAACGGGUGAGUAACACGUGAGUAACCUGCCCCCUUCUUUGGGAUAACGCCCGGAAACGGGUGCUAAUACUGGAUAUUCACUGGUCUUCGCAUGGGGGUUGGUGGAAAGGGUUUUUCUGGUGGGGGAUGGGCUCGCGGCCUAUCAGCUUGUUGGUGGGGUGAUGGCCUACCAAGGCUUUGACGGGUAGCCGGCCUGAGAGGGUGACCGGUCACAUUGGGACUGAGAUACGGCCCAGACUCCUACGGGAGGCAGCAGUGGGGAAUAUUGAACAAUGGGCGCAAGCCUGAUGCAGCGACGCCGCGGGAGGGAUGGAGGCCUUCGGGUUGUGAACCUCUUUCGCUCAUGGUCAAGCCGCAACAAUGGUUGUGGUGAGGGUAGUGGGUAAAGAAGCGCCGGCUAACUACGUG
rnacentral:rRNA from 1 species